CACGUAGGGGACGAGCGUUGUCCGGAUUCAUUGGGCGUAAAGCGCGCGUAGGCGGCUCGGAAAGUCGGUCGUGAAAUGCCGGGGCUCAACCCCGGGACUGCGUCCGAUACUCCCGAGCUGGAGGCAGGUAGGGGAGAUCGGAAUUCCUGGUGUAGCGGUGAAAUGCGCAGAUAUCAGGAGGAACACCGGUGGCGAAGGCGGAUCUCUGGGCCUUGCCUGACGCUGGAGGCGCGAAAGCUAGGGGAGCGAACAGGA
rnacentral:rRNA from 1 species